UGGGGAAUAUUGGACAAUGGGCGAAAGCCUGAUCCAGCCAUGCCGCGUGUGUGAAGAAGGUCUUCGGAUUGUAAAGCACUUUAUGUUGGGAGGAAGGGCAGUAAGCGAAUACCUUGCUGUUUUGACGUUACGGACAGAAUAAGCACCGGCUAACUCUGUGCCAGCAGCCGCGGUAAUACAGAGGGUGCAAGCGUUAAUCGGAAUUACUGGGCGUAAAGCGCGCGUAGGUGGUUCGUUAAGUUGAAUGUGAAAGCCCCGGGCUCAACCUGGGAACUGCAUCCAAAACUGGCGAGCUAGAGUAGGGCAGAGGGUGGUGGAAUUUCCUGUGUAACGGUGAAAUGCGUAGAUAUAGGAAAGAACACCAGUGGCGAAGGCGACCACCUGGGCUCAUACUGACACUGAGGUGCGAAAGCGUAGGGAGCAAACAGG
rnacentral:rRNA from 1 species